rnacentral:rRNA from 1 species
GAUCAUGGCUCAGGAUGAACGCUGGCGGCGUGCCUAAUACAUGCAAGUAGAACGCUGAAGCUUGGUGCUUGCACCGAGCGGAGGAGUUGCGAACGGGUGAGUAACGCGUAGGUAACCUGCCUCUUAGCGGGGGGAUAACUAUUGGAAACGAUAGCUAAUACCGCAUAAAAGUACGACAUUGCAUGAUGUUGUACUUGAAAGGUAGGCAAAUAGCAUCACCUAAGAAGAAUGGACCGUCG